rnacentral:rRNA from 1 species
AUUGAACGCUGGCGGCAUGCCUUACACAUGCAAGUCGAACGGUAGCAUGGAGAGCUUGCUCUCUGAUGGCGAGUGGCGAACGGGUGAGUAAUGCAUCGGAACGUACCGUGUAAUGGGGGAUAACGUAGCGAAAGUUACGCUAAUACCGCAUACGACCUGAGGGUGAAAGCAGGGGAUCGCAAGACCUUGCGUUAUACGAGCGGCCGAUGUCAGAUUAGCUAGUUGGUGAGGUAAAGGCUCACCAAGGCGACGAUCUGUAGCGGGUCUGAGAGGAUGAUCCGACACACUGGGACUGGGACACGGCCCAGACUCCUACGGGAGGCAGCAGUGGGGAAUUUUGGACAAUGGGGGCAACCCUGAUCCAGCCAUGCCGCGUGAGUGAAGAAGGCCUUCGGGUUGUAAAGCUCUUUCGGCCGGGAAGAAAUCGCACAGGCUAAUACUCUGUGUGGAUGACGGUACCGGCAUAAGAAGCACCGGCUAACUACGUGCCAGCAGCCGCCGUAA